AGAGGCUGUUCUGUUGUUCGGCCAGUUGAUCGCUAGAUGUCACUACUACGCUGCAAUCCACCAAUAUAUUAAGGUAAAUUUGUCUCAGGACAAAAUAAAACUGCACACGAUGCAUUCAUUAAAAGCUCACCUAUGA